rnacentral:rRNA from 1 species
AUGGCCUCCUACGACGGCGAGGACGACUCCGGCCGGCGCCGCCCGCCGCCGCAGCAGCACCGCCCGUCCGGCGGGGGCAGCGGCGACCUCGCCGCCAGCGCCAAGCUGGUGGCGGAGGCGGCCAAGGCGGCGCUCCAGGACCACAACCUGGGGAAGGUCGACAAGGGCCGCACCGCCGAGGCCGCCGCCGACCUGCUCCACGCGGCCUCCCUCUACGGCAAGCUCGAGGGCAAGCCCGUCGGCGGCUACCUCAACAAGGCCGAGGACUACCUCCACAAGUUCGGUGCCAAGGAGGGGGGCAGCGGGGGCGGCAAGCAUCAGCCGAGCGGCCACGGGGGUUCAGGCGGCAGGUACGAGGAGGAGGAUGAGUACAGGAAGAAGCCUACUAGUGGUGGUGGGAGGUACGAACAGGAUGAUGAUGAGUACAAGAAGCCCAGCGGUGGUGGGAGGUAUGAAGAGGACGAUGAGUACAGGAAGAAGCCUACUAGUGGUGGUGGUGGCUAUGGAGGUGGAAGGUAUGAAGAAGAUGACUACAAGAAGAAGCCUAGUGGUGGAAGCCAUGGAGGGAAGGAUGAGUCAGAAGGCGGCGGCAUUGGAGACUACAUUGAACUUGCACAGGGUUUCAUGAAGAAGCAGGAUGGCGAGGGUGGGCACAAGAAGACUAGUGGCCAUGGAGGAGGAGGGUAUGGAAAGGAGGAAAAUGAAGAGGAUAGCGGCAAGAAGAAACAUGGUGGCCGCCCUGAGAGUGGAAAACAUGAGUCGGAGGGCAGUGGCAUGGCAGAUUACCUGAAACUUGCUCAGGGUUUCAUGAAGAAGGAUGGUGAGGGGGGAAGCGGAGCUGGUAUGGGGGACUACUUAAAGCUUGCAGAGGGGUUCAUGAAGAAGCGUUGA